rnacentral:rRNA from 1 species
GACGAACGCUGGCGGCGUGCUUAACACAUGCAAGUCGAACGGAAAGGCCCUGCUUUUGUGGGGUGCUCGAGUGGCGAACGGGUGAGUAACACGUGAGUAACCUGCCCUUGACUUUGGGAUAACUUCAGGAAACUGGGGCUAAUACCGGAUAGGAGCUCCUGCUGCAUGGUGGGGGUUGGAAAGUUUCGGCGGUUGGGGAUGGACUCGCGGCUUAUCAGCUUGUUGGUGGGGUAGUGGCUUACCAAGGCUUUGACGGGUAGCCGGCCUGAGAGGGUGACCGGACACAUGGGGACUGAGAUACGGCACAGACUCCUACGGGAGGCAGCAGUGGGGAAUAUUGCACAAUGGGCGGAAGCCUGAUGCAGCAACGCCGCGUGCGGGAUGACGGCCUUCGGGUUGUAAACCGCUUUCGCCUGUGACGAAGCGUGAGUGACGGUAAUGGGUAAAGAAGCACCGGCUAACUACGUG